UGAGUCCUACGGGGGGCAGCAGUAGGGAAUCUUCCACAAUGGGCGCAAGCCUGAUGGAGCAACACCGCGUGAGUGAAGAAGGGUUUCGGCUCGUAAAGCUAUGUUGGUGGGGAAGAACGUGCGUGAGAGUAACUGUUCACGCAGUGACGGUAUCCAACCAGAAAGUCACGGCUAACUACGUGCCAGCAGCCGCGGUAAUACGUAGGUGGCAAGCGUUAUCCGGAUUUAUUGGGCGUAAAGC
rnacentral:rRNA from 1 species